AUGAAGCAGUGCUUUGCUUUCUGUGCUAUGUUUCCCAAAGAUUACAAGAUUGAUGUGGACAAGCUGAUCCAACUGUGGAUCGCACAUGGGUUUAUUCAGCACCAAAAUGAAGUUAGUCCUGAAACCAUUGGCAAGCGGAUUUUCAGUGAGCUAGCCUCAAGGUCAUUCUUUGUGGAUGUGAAGCAAGUCCAAGUUUCAUUCCACGGAACUAUGCACAUCGGGGAUAGUUAUUCCCAACAUACAUGUAAAAUUCACGAUCUUAUGCAUGAUGUUGCACUGUCGACAAUGGAAAAAGAAUGUGCUCAUGCACCCGAGGAACCAAGUCAGACUGAGUGGCUUUCAGAUACAGCUCGCCACUUACUUUUGUCUUGUGAAGAACCAGAAACUAUUUUGAAUGAUUCUAUGGCGAAAAGAUCUCCAGCUAUGCAGACACUUCUGUGUGAUUGUUAUAUGGAAGAUCCAUUGCAGCAUUUAUCAAAAUACAGCUCUUUGAAGGCAUUACGGCUCUGUACAUGGAGCAGAUCAUUUCCCUUGAAAUCAAAGCAUCUGCAUCACCUGAGGUACCUUGAUCUCUCAAGAAGUGGUAUCGCAUCACUUCCUGAAGAUAUAAGCAUUCUAUACAACCUGCAAACAUUGAACAUAUCUUGCUGCCGCGAGCUUCGUUGGCUUCCAAGACAAAUGAAGUAUAUGACUGCCCUCCGUCACCUCUACACUCAUGGUUGUCCAGAGAUGAGGAAAUGCCUAGUGACCUCCGAAAACUCAUUUCCCUACGGACACUUACAUGUUUUGUAG
rnacentral:rRNA from 1 species